UACGGAGGGUGCAAGCGUUAUCCGGAUUCACUGGGUUUAAAGGGUGCGUAGGCGGGUAGGUAAGUCAGUGGUGAAAUCUUCGAGCUUAACUCGGAAACUGCCUUUGAUACUAUCUAUCUUGAAUAUUGUGGAGGUAAGCGGAAUAUGUCAUGUAGCGGUGAAAUGCUUAGAUAUGACAUAGAACACCUAUUGCGAAGGCAGCUUACUACGCAUAUAUUGACGCUGAGGCACGAAAAGCGUGGGG
rnacentral:rRNA from 1 species